GUGUUUCCGUGCGGGCCGCGCCAUCCACACGUUUACCAGAGCGUCCAUGUUUGCAUAGAUCGCACACGUCGCACACCCACUUUUGCGUCGGAUCGUCGCCAUUUAAAACCACUUAACGACAAAUGAGACUAAAUAUUGACAGCGUACAACAUAAAAACAAAAGGGACCGCCGCAGGGGGCGGCGCGGUGUCAGUCCUAAGGACAAACAAACACGACGACGCUGUUUGACGAACGAAUUACGUGACAAGUUUAGUUCGGAUGUUUACAGCGUUUUCGAUUUGGGAUUUCCCAGGGAUGGCGGAAAAAAAAUUUUAGGGCCGAAAUCUGUCGGCGGAUGCAGUAGGCAGCUGUGACGUCAGCCAGGGUUGCUCCGAGACGAGAUCCGAUAUUUGUUGUUAACAAUAAUUUGUUAUAUGAUACCGUGGAUUUGGAGGGGUAUGUGCCGAUAUUCUUUCGCAAGAAACACGCAUUCCCGUUUGAAGGGCUGGACAGACGCUAAUAGGUCACUAAUAGCCACUUCACACCAGGUGGGUCGUGAGCUCGUUCACUCAUACAGGUACCAAUGACCUUCCCCGCUUCAGCCGCGAAGUAGUUACGCGUUUGCAUUUUGAUGGCAGUGAGUUUGAUAACCAAGCGAUAGGUGGUAAGAUUGUCAACUCAUCUAGAUCAGAUUGAUGGACACACUGCUGGACACGGACACUCAAAUUUCACCCAGUGCGGAAUGACUGUUAGAGCUCCUAGAUAUCACGACGCGGAUGAUUCACCUAGAGGAUAGGUACCGACGUACCUAAAAGCAGCCAUGAUUAACCAGUUGAAGAUAAAUAUUCGAGAAGAAAUGGCAGCUAUUCCACGCGCAACGUGUCGGGGAGUUCUUACCAAAUUGAAGUUCAGAUUCGAGGAAUGUUUGCAGCGUGAUGAUGCACACCUGAAUGAUGUAGUUCAUAAGAAAUAAA